rnacentral:rRNA from 1 species
UAAACGAUGGGUACUAGGUGUGGGGAGUCUACCCCCUCAGUGCCGCAGCUAACGCAUUAAGUACCCCACCUGGGGAGUACGAUCGCAAGGUUGAAACUCAAAGGAAUUGACGGGGGCCCGCACCAGCGGUGGAGCAUGUGGUUUAAUUCGAUGCAACGCGAAGAACCUUACCUGGGCUUGACAUGCAGGGGACAGAUAUAGAAAUAUAUCCUUCUUCGGACUCCUGCACAGGUGCUGCAUGGCUGUCGUCAGCUCGUGUCGUGAAAUGUUGGGUUAAGUCCCGCAACGAGCGCAACCCUUGUCUUUAGUUGCCAUCAGGUAAUGCUGGGGACUCUAGAGAGACUGCCGGUGACAAACCGGAGGAAGGUGGGGACGACGUCAAGUCAUCAUGGCCCUUACGCCCAGGGCUACACACGUGUUACAAUGGUCGGUACAAUGGGCUGCGAAACAGUGAUGUGGAGCGAAUCCCAAAAAGCCGGCCUCAGUUCGGAUCGGAGUCUGCAACUCGACUCCGUGAAGUUGGAAUCGCUAGUAAUCGCUUAUCAGAACGAAGCGGUGAAUACGUUCCCGGGCCUUGUACACACCGCCCGUCAAGUCAACCGAGUUGGUUGCACCCCAAGUCGCUGAGCUAACCCGUAAGGGAGGCAAGUGCCCAAGGUGUGAUUGGCGAGGGGGACUAAGUCGUAACAAGGUAGCCGUA